AUUGAACGCUGGCGGAAUGCUUUACACAUGCAAGUCGAACGGCAGCACGGACUUCGGUCUGGUGGCGAGUGGCGAACGGGUGAGUAAUGUAUCGGAACGUGCCCAGUCGUGGGGGAUAACGUAGUGAAAAUUACGCUAAUACCGCAUACGAUCUAUGGAUGAAAGCGGGGGAUCGCAAGACCUCGCGCGAUUGGAGCGGCCGAUAUCAGAUUAGGUAGUUGGUGGGGUAAAGGCCCACCAAGCCAACGAUCUGUAGCUGGUCUGAGAGGACGACCAGCCACACUGGAACUGAGACACGGUCCAGACUCCUACGGGAGGCAGCAGUGGGGAAUUUUGGACAAUGGGCGCAAGCCUGAUCCAGCCAUUCCGCGUGCAGGAUGAAGGCCCUCGGGUUGUAAACUGCUUUUGUACAGGACGAAAAGGUUUCUACUAAUACUAGGAGCUCAUGACGGUACUGUAAGAAUAAGCACCGGCUAACUACGUGCCAGCAGCCGCGGUAA
rnacentral:rRNA from 1 species